AGUGAACGCUGGCGGUAGGCCUAACACAUGCAAGUCGAACGGCAGCACAGUAAGAGCUUGCUCUUACGGGUGGCGAGUGGCGGACGGGUGAGGAAUACAUCGGAAUCUACUUUUUCGUGGGGGAUAACGUAGGGAAACUUACGCUAAUACCGCAUACGACCUACGGGUGAAAGCAGGGGAUCUUCGGACCUUGCGCGAUUGAAUGAGCCGAUGUCGGAUUAGCUAGUUGGCGGGGUAAAGGCCCACCAAGGCGACGAUCCGUAGCUGGUCUGAGAGGAUGAUCAGCCACACUGGAACUGAGACACGGUCCAGACUCCUACGGGAGGAAGCAGUGGGGAAUAUUGGACAAUGGGCGCAAGCCUGAUCCAGCCAUACCGCGUGGGUGAAGAAGGCCUUCGGGUUGUAAAGCCCUUUUGUGGGGAAAGAAAAGCAGCAGGUUAAUACCCCGCUGUUCUGACGGUACCCAAAGAAUAAGCACCGGCUAACUUCGUG
rnacentral:rRNA from 1 species